AUCGAAUCCAUGGCAAAUAGAGUGGAUCUUCUAGUGAGGGUUUGGAUAUCGUACCAUCUAAGAAACUCUGCUUAUUCCUUAUUGACUCUACAAGUAGAAAAGAUCUUCUCCAAGAAGGAAAUUUAUAGAGGUUGGCUCUGGAGUCACAAUAACAAAACUAUGAUUCUCAAAAUGGUGUAGAAUGAAUGGUGAUGAAGUAUUUUCCAAAGGUUGGAGUUUAUUUUCUGAAGGAUUUGAUUCUGCAUUUGUCGUUGAAGAAGGUGCCAUUGAUAAAAAGAG
rnacentral:misc_RNA from 1 species